rnacentral:tRNA from 1 species
GUCCUGUAGCCUUAUAAAAAGCAUGACACUGAAGAUGUCAAGAUGGCUGCUACACGCACCCAAGGACA